rnacentral:rRNA from 1 species
ACGAACGCUGGCGGCAGGCCUAACACAUGCAAGUCGAGCGCUACCUUCGGGUGGAGCGGCGGACGGGUUAGUAACGCGUGGGAAUAUACCCUUCACUAUGGAAUAGCCUCGGGAAACUGAGAGUAAUACCGCAUACGCCCUACGGGGGAAAGGUCCGCCGGAGAAAGAGGGGCCCGCGUCUGAUUAGCUUGUUGGUAGGGUAAUGGCCUACCAAGGCGACGAUCAGUAGCUGGUCUGAGAGGAUGAUCAGCCACACUGGGACUGAGACACGGCCCCAGACUCCUACGGGAGGCAGCAGUGGGGAAUAUUGG